rnacentral:rRNA from 1 species
AUUGAACGCUGGCGGCAUGCCUUACACAUGCAAGUCGAACGGUAACGGGCCUUCGGGUGCCGACGAGUGGCGAACGGGUGAGUAAUGUAUCGGAACGUACCUUUCAGUGGGGGAUAACGUAGCGACAGUUACGCUAAUACCGCAUAUUCUGUGAGCAGGAAAGCAGGGAAUCGCAAGACCUUGCGCUGAUUGAGCGGCCGAUAUCAGAUUAGCUAGUUGGUGGGGUAAAGGCUCACCAAGGCGACGAUCUGUAGCGGGUCUGAGGGGAUGAUCCGCAACCGUGGAACUGAGACACGGUCCAGACUCCUACGGGAGGCAGCAGUGGGGAAUUUUGGACAAUGGGGUCAACCCUGAUCCAGCCAUGCCGCGUGAGUGAAGAAGGCCUUCGGGUUGUAAAGCUCCUUCGGCCGGGAAGAAAUCGUAUCAGCUAAUACCUGGUGCGGAUGACGGUACCGGCAUAAGAAGCACCGGCUAACUACGUGCCAGCAGCCGCCGUAAGAC